rnacentral:sRNA from 1 species
AGUAUUAGUGUACUUGGAACCUAAUAUUAUUCAUUAUCAAUCAUGGAAUUUUUACUUUACACCGAAGUCGAAACUCUACUCUGGACGAUAAAGUGUAUGAUUGGUGCCGACAACCAAGAUGUAGCCUUUUUUAUAUACUGUUCAGACCUGGUGAAGAUAGUUUUUUCCUCAACCGAAUAGUCGGCGUUUUCAGCAUAUUUGGAGGAUUUUCAGAGCGACAAGGAAGAAUUCACAAGCUUCUCUUUAUCUUUAAUUUUUUGUAAUGCAAAUGUUAAAACGGACAAUUUGGCACGAAAAUUUGUACUAAAUCGUUUUAUGUCACUUAUGUAAACAAUAUUCCGCAAGAUUGAUUCUUUUGAGCUCAAAACAAAACCGAUGACAAA